rnacentral:rRNA from 1 species
UACGGAGGGGGCUAGCGCUGUUCGGAAUUACUGGGCGUAAAGCGCACGUAGGCGGACUGUUAAGUCGGGGGUGAAAUCCUGGGGCUCAACCUCAGAAUUGCCUCCGAUACUGGCAGUCUCGAGUGCGGGAGAGGUGAGUGGAAUUCCCAGUGUAGAGGUGAAAUUCGUAGAUAUUGGGAAGAACACCAGUGGCGAAGGCG